GUUAUUAUCCAGUGCUGUAAGGACGAGAUGCUUUCACCAGCAGCCGAGUGAGAUGAAAGCGCUUUUCCGAUCCACCGAAUCAGUCCCACUGCAACUGUAAGCUGGAGACCCUCUGGGCCUUGGGAGCUCAGGCUGCCUGGGCAACGCAAGGGAGGACAGGGGCGGAGGGGGAGCCAGGAGGGCCGCACCUGCCUCGCUCGCUGGUCGCCCUCGCUCUGGGAUCCGUCCUGCCGGUCCCAGGCUGUUGAGGGCGCCUCCUCAGAGUCCCUGUGGCCCCCGCAGCUUCCCCGGAAGAAACCCGUGCAUCCAUCGGCUAGCCCAAGCCCAAGCUCCUCCCGGAGCUCCCCGAGCCGGGGCCAGGCCUCCGCCCCUCGGUGCCCGCGCCUGGGCUCCUCCCGCUGCGGGCCGCCCGCCCGGACGCAAGGCACAGGGGGACGCCCCGCCGAGCCGCUGCCCACUGCACCGAGUUUUUCGGAGGCUGGGAGAGGAAAUGCCACUUGGAUUUUAAAACCGUCACCGAUACGCUAUAGGUGAAUAUUUCGCUGGGAUUUUAAAGAGACGAGCUUCAGCCUGCUAAGCCGCGCUCACGCCGCCUCUCCGCCCUGGCCUCCCCGCGUCCGGCUUGGGGCCGGGUCCCUCCCGGGUCAAAGCUACGCCGGGUGCACUGCGGGCUGGGCAGCUCUCCCACUACGCCCAAAGCCCAGGCGGCCGGGACCGCCGUCCCAAAGUCACAAACCACACCCGUGAAGGACGCCCUCCGCAAGACAGAGAGGAGGCUGGGCCUGGGAAGGAACCUCCGGCCCUUCCUCACCAUGCAGCCAAGCCCUGCUUUCUCUACCUCCAGUCGUUUUCUGAGGACCGGCUUGGUGGGUGCUGAUGCCUGCCUGGAAGACCUCACACCCACAGUGUCUUAGAAGAUUCUGAAAGCAGUGUGAGGUACCAGCCUGCUUUAGCGCUAGGAGCUGGCAUGGUGGGGGUCUCAGGCUGCAUCCGCACAUUCUCAGCGGUGCUUUUGCUCCUGGAAUGGAGCCACAAGCUGCUCUGGGCCAUUUAGAGACUCUAAGUGGUUUGCUCAGGGCUAUAUGGAAGUGGGAGGUGGGGGACCUGGGCGCUCUGUAGCAUGCUUAGUCCCCCUGGCAGGGUUAGAGGUUAGUUGACCAGAGACAACGAGUCCAAUUCCCAAACAGACCAGAAUGACCAGCAAAGGAGAAAAGAACAAGGACACAUUGCAGCCAAAAUGGAGCUAGAAUCUUGCCUCUGUCCAUCCUUCACUGGAGUUAUCCUGGAUGGAGAAGGAACCAUAUCACCUGCAAAGCCUGGAAGGGGAGCCCUGCUGUGAGGUGAGCCAGUAAGUCUGUGAGUUCAGGAGGGAGCACACGCUUGUCUGUCCAUCUGUUCAUGAGCAGGCGCUCUUGAGUCUUCCUAAAUAUUGCCCAGAGCUCUCCAUCCAGAUACUGUCCUUUCCCUUCCUCUCCAUUGAUGGUCUCCAAGCCUUUCUUAGCUUUCAUCUUCCCCUAAGGAUUCCUUCUCCCAAAGCUCCAGCCCAUUCCAAUGUCAACUGCAUUCGUUGUUUUUGUUACUCUCAUUGUGUCAAAUGGGUUCUUUCCUAUGCAACUAGAUUGUAGGUUGCUCCAAGGUAAACACCGUGAUUUCUAGUUCCUUUGUUUCUACCACUGCAGGACUGUAGGAAGCCCAGUUGUAGGCAUCACUAGGACUCAGUAAUUACAUAAUUGCUCAGAUAAUUGAGAGAAUGAUUGAUUGAUUAGUGGUCAUUAAUGCCAUAAAAUGAAGGAAUUUCGCCCCUCACAUUUUCAAGAACCUAUGAGUUCGAAGAGACCUGAAAGAACAUUUUUAUGGGAGCCUACACCAGUGCUAUCACCUAAAGUGCGUGACCUUAGGGAAGUUGCUUCACCCCUUGUUUCUGUGCCUCCAAAAUACUGGUGUUAAUACAGUAAUUUCUGAUUCCUUCCACCUGUGCCCUGCUCAGCGAUCCAGUGUUCAAGCUGGUCAUCAGGAGAAAGCUACUUAUGAUUUCCUAACAAGCCACCACAGAACAUCACAUUCCCAAACAUGCUCUUCACCGUCCCUGCUGUCCCCACGUGCCUAGCCCUGGUGUGGGCAGGAAUGAGUGGGAUUGGGAUGUUUUCUCACAGGUCUUUCUCAGGUGAGGCCCCAGGCUGUGACCAGGCCCCUGCCCUGCAUGUGACUCAGGCCUAGCCCCUGCUGGGGCAGGAAUGCCACCCAGCACAGCAUCCUACUGGUGCCUGAAUAAAGAAUGGACUGGAGGUUCACCUGAAA